rnacentral:rRNA from 1 species
ACACUGCCGAGAAAAGCCUCUAGAUAGAAAAUAGGUGCCCGUACCGCAAACCGACACAGGUAGUCAAGAUGAGAAUUCUAAGGUGAGCGAGCGAACUCUCGUUAAGGAACUCGGCAAAAUGACCCCGUAACUUCGGGAGAAGGGGUGCUCUUUAGGGUUAACGCCCAGAAGAGCCGCAGUGAAUAGGCCCAAGCGACUGUUUAUCAAAAACACAGGUCUCUGCUAAACCGUAAGGUGAUGUAUAGGGGCUGACGCCUGCCCGGUGCUGGAAGGUUAAGAGGAGUGGUUAGCUUCUGCGAAGCUACGAAUCGAAGCCCCAGUAAACGGCGGCCGUAACUAUAACGGUCCUAAGGUAGCGAAAUUCCUUGUCGGGUAAGUUCCGACCCGCACGAAAGGCGUAACGAUUUGGGCACUGUCUCAACGAGAGACUCGGUGAAAUCAUAGUACCUGUGAAGAUGCAGGUUACCCGCGACAGGACGGAAAGACCCCGUGGAGCUUUACUGUAGCCUGAUAUUGAAAUUCGGCACAGCUUGUACAGGAUAGGUAGGAGCCUUUGAAACGUGAGCGCUAGCUUACGUGGAGGCGCUGGUGGGAUACUACCCUAGCUGUGUUGGCUUUCUAACCCGCACCACUUAUCGUGGUGGGAGACAGUGUCAGGCGGGCAGUUUGACUGGGGCGGUCGCCUCCUAAAAGGUAACGGAGGCGCUCAAAGGUUCCCUCAGAAUGGUUGGAAAUCAUUCAUAGAGUGUAAAGGCAUAAGGGAGCUUGACUGCGAGACCUACAAGUCGAGCAGGGUCGAAAGACGGACUUAGUGAUCCGGUGGUUCCGCAUGGAAGGGCCAUCGCUCAACGGAUAAAAGCUACCCCGGGGAUAACAGGCUUAUCUCCCCCAAGAGUUCACAUCGACGGGGAGGUUUGGCACCUCGAUGUCGGCUCAUCGCAUCCUGGGGCUGUAGUCGGUCCCAAGGGUUGGGCUGUUCGCCCAUUAAAGCGGUACGCGAGCUGGGUUCAGAACGUCGUGAG